AUGCUGCAACCUGCUCCACAACUCUUCAAUUCCCAGCAUCGUUCUAAGAACACAGGACCCUUUUCUCCGGCCAAAGGAGAGUCCACGUUCUUUUUAUUUUAGUCUGAACGAGGGAAUGCGGGAAGAUCUCCAGAAUUCGUCCAAACAGGCCGGGUGAGAUAAAUUGUUGCUCAAUAAAAGCCACACGCGAAACACCAAGUCAGCCAAUCCUACUAGAGGGAGCCCCAGCUGACAAAGCAUCAAGGCCCCAGCUGACAAAGAGUCAAGGCAAGUUAAGCAGCAGAGCGAAAAGAGGCGAUACCAACAACUCCCCCGAGGGUAGCAGGAGCUAUCAAGAAAUUCCUUCCUGACCAUCAGAGAGGGAGACUCCCCUUCAGCCUUGGCUGAUUCUCUUGCUUGAGCCGCGGGGGGUGGUCCCGCAAGUCACUACGCACCGCUUGCUGAAGCUACACCUAGGCUUGGAGCGCGCACAGCCAUAGCGAGAGGAGGCUAGUGAAGGCACCGCUGGGGUACUUUAUAAGCACCCAAAAGUGCAGGGGAAAGGGGAGCUGCCUUGGCGUCUCAUCCCAGCAUCUGCUCCACUCAUUCAGCUCACGAAGAAUGAUAAUAUUAAACGGGUGAAAGAAAUUUGCUUUUCUCUGCUGAGAUCCCACACAGCUUAUGAGAGGCACAGAGCCAGAACCCAGCUUCCUAUCUCUCCCCAAAAUCAUCAACGCAACCUGCUUUUCUCUGUCAAUUCCAGUCCUAUACCUCAGUAGCAUGAACCAAGUGACAGGCUCAGGAGGAUAGGGAGAGCACCCAGAACAGGAGAAGACCAUACAACAUUUCUCCCAGAAGAGAAGCAACCAAAACAAGGGGACCUCCUUCUGAACCAAGGAUUGGAACUUGAUUCUGAGUAAACAUGCAUAGGAUUACACUACAACAGACGAUAACAGCAGGAUCGUGAUAAUGUGAUUUUCCAGUCCUGAAUCAACAGAGCAAUGUUGCCCCAGCAAGUCUUACCACUGUCUCUCAAACUGAAACCAAGUAUACUAAGAAAGCACAAGCACUUCCUAUGCUAAAAUGGAUAUCACCCUCCUGGAUCAGUGUCGGGGAUCAACCAGUUUUGGCUCCUGUUUGUUGUCUUCACCACCUACUUUGCCCAUCCGCCUGCCCCUAGUGGGCACAGAGGACUGGAAGUGGGUAGGAACAUGUCAACAGAGAAAAGGCCUGUGAACAUCACCACUUACGGACAACACAAAGGGAUGUCUAUAGAAACAGCUGGCACCUGGGAGAAUCUUUCUGAAACUCACCUCACUUUUCACUGGCUGAGGCCUCUUGCCUAGUUUCACCUCCAAGAAGUGUAGUGGCGAAAUCAUGGCCCCAAUGUUGCGAAUGUCAGCAUACUUCAGCUCUUCCGCUGUCAAGGUGGUACCAGGCAACCCUGUCAAGGGGCCGAGGCCAGGCAGAGCACCAGCUGUCAGGGAUGGGUCUGGAAUCUGCCCAGGCAUCAUAGCAGGAUAUACAGUUCCACAGUCUACAGAAGAGAAAGAGAAACCAUCAGUCACUACGGGAAGCUGAGCAGCGAUAAUCCAAAAAGGCAAAGCAAGCACAGUUCAUUUUGAAGCCAAGGAGAGAGAGUAUAAACAUAGAUAAGGAACAUCAUGAUUUGUUUGUCUCUGCUGAACCAACUUGUCAAAGGAAAAGCAAGGUAUACCAGGUUAGAAACUUUACCCCCAAUGAGACAGAGAGACAUCUUCCUAGAAUGUCAGCCAGAGACUUUGGAGGAUGGAGACCUAGAUGAACAUGAAGAAGUCCCACUUGCACUGUGAAAUAGCUACAAAACAUGACACCAAAG